rnacentral:rRNA from 1 species
UACAGAGGUCCCAAGCGUUGUUCGGAUUCACUGGGCGUAAAGGGUGCGUAGGCGGUCGGGUAAGUCUGAUGUGAAAUCUCACAGCUUAACUGUGAAACUGCAUUGGAUACUAUCCGGCUCGAGGAAUGGAGGGGAGACUGGAAUACUUGGUGUAGCAGUGAAAUGCGUAGAUAUCAAGUGGAACACCAGUGGCGAAGGCGAGUCCCUGGACGAUACCUGACACUGAGGCACGAAAGCUAGGGGAGCAAACAGG